UCGCAUGCGGUGCUUACUGUGCCUGGCUCUGCGGCUCUGCACACAGACCCUUCUCAAAGCGCUUGCUAUGCCAUCGUUCAAACAGUUGUCCCAGGUGCCAUGCCCUAAAAGAUUGUGUUAAUUUCCAUAGGACUAUUAAUGCUGUCCUCUUUUGUCGUGCAAUAUUGACAAGGAUGCAGAAAAGGAAAAGGCAGGGGACGAUUGACUCCUUUUUCAAGAAGACCCAAAAAGCUGAUUUAUUAUUUGGUGACAAGAAAAUCAUGUGAUAUAAGAUCACAAGGAAGACCCCUGGGUGAAGGUCAGUGAGUCUCACAGAAAUAUCAGAAACAAGGAAAAACUGUCUUGACAUAAAGCAAGUGAAGUGAAGAUCAAAUGAUCCAUCCAUCCAUCCAUCCAUCCAUAUCACUAUCCGUCAGUGUUGCAGGGGAAGUUGGAGCCAAUCCCAGCUGACUUUGGACGAGAGGUAUGGUACAAUCUGGGCAGGUCACCAGUCUCUCCCUGGCUUAACACAGAGACAAAUAUCCAUUCACAUUCACACCUACAGACAAUUUAGAGUAGCUAGCUGACCUAAAUUACAAGUCUUUGGUUUGUGGGAGAAAACUGGAGCACCUGGAGGAAAUCCACACAGGCAUGAGGAGAACAUGCAAACUCCACACAGAAAGGCCCCAGUCAGCUGCAAAGUUCUCACCCAGGACAUUUUUGCUGUAAGGUGACACUGCUAAGCACUGCACC